GUAGAAACAAUCUAAAACCCAAAUCACCUUGCAUUUGCUGGGCUUUGAAAAAUACAGAAUAAGAGAAGAGAAAUUCAGAUCUACAUAAAAUAUGGCUACCUAUAGUUCAAACACCAUUUGCUGAAUACUCCAUAUUCCUUCACAAGAGAAUAUGCCCAAAUUAUCAUCUGCUGAAUUUCUGCAUCACUUUCACCAAUUUUCUGUGUCUGUUUUGUGACUGUUUCAAUAUUCAGAUGUUAGUACCACAAUGCUAAUUGUUGGGAUGUUUUAACAUGUGGUUAAAGCUAGUUCCCUCUCAUUUGUCUCUUUUGCAGGAUUGCACUGGGUAUUUUUGCUUGGGGCUUUUCCAUAAAAACUUUAGAAUUAAAGUGGAAACCACUCUCUGAAAAAUUA